GUAGGUGGCAAGCGUUGUCCGGAAUUAUUGGGCGUAAAGCGCGCGCAGGCGGUUCUUUAAGUCUGAUGUGAAAGCCCACGGCUCAACCGUGGAGGGUCAUUGGAAACUGGAGAACUUGAGUACAGAAGAGGAAAGCGGAAUUCCACGUGUAGCGGUGAAAUGCGUAGAGAUGUGGAGGAACACCAGUGGCGAAGGCGGCUUUCUGGUCUGUAACUGACGCUGAGGCGCGAAAGCGUGGGGAGCAAACAGGGAUUAGAUACCCUGGUAGUCCACGCCGUAAACGAUGAGUGCUAAGUGUUAGGGGGGUUUCCGCCCCCUUAGUGCUGCAGCUAACGCAUUAAGCACUCCGCCUGGGGAGUGCGGCCGCAAGGCUG
rnacentral:rRNA from 1 species